GAAGCUCAAAACUGAGGGAAUUGUUGGUUUAGAGCACGGUGCUCACAACUCCAAGGUUGCAGGUUCAAUCCCUGUAUGGGCCA